AUUUAAAUAGUUUAAUAAAAAUAUUGGUUUGUGGAACUAAAGUUAUAGUAAUUAUUUUAAAUA
rnacentral:tRNA from 1 species